rnacentral:rRNA from 1 species
AUACAGAGGGGGCUAGCGUUGUUCGGAAUUACUGGGCGUAAAGGGCGCGUAGGCGGAUUGUCAAGUCAGAGGUGAAAGCCCUGGGCUCAACCUGGGAACUGCCUUUGAAACUAACGGUCUAGAGUCCGAGAGAGGAUGGCGGAAUUCCCAGUGUAGAGGUGAAAUUCGUAGAUAUUGGGAAGAACACCAGUGGCGAAGGCGGCCAUCUGGCUCGGUACUGACGCUGAGGCGCGAAAGCGUGGGGAGCAAACAGGAUUAGAAACCCCAGUAGUCC